CAAGAAACGAGGCUACGUGGCCCCGCUCUUUACCUUGCCUACUGCACUAUCUGUUGCUUCCUGGCGGCGGUUUGCCUGCCGCCAGGGACAUUGUAAAGCCCUGUAUAAGCAUUAAAAAACUGAAACAAACCGAAUCGUA
rnacentral:misc_RNA from 1 species